CGCCCCCGCCCCGAGCGAGCGCAAGCAGCCGGCUGGACCCGCACAGCUGAUGGUCGGUACCACCCUCGCGGGCUGAGGCGGGGCGCGAGGAGGGAAGGACCCCGGAGUGGUACCACCCUCGCGCCCUCCCCGGCCGAGCCGGCCCCGGCCCCUCGCGCUGGAGCUGGGCUGCGGGCGGGGCGACACCGCCAGGCCUCGCUCUCGGGAGUUAAAGCCCUCCAACCCCCACCCCGCCUCCAUCCAGGCCGUUCCUGGCGCCCAGCCUGGCAGCCUUUCUCAAAGGGCGGAGGGAGGUGUGAGAGGCGGCGGGAGGGCCCUGGACUUGGAGGGGCGUCUCCUUGAGGUGAACGUGGGAAGAGAAAGCAACCCAGGUGGCCCUUGACCUGCCCACUGCUCCCUGACUGCUCCCCCAAGCCCAUUACCCCCAGUCCCUCUGGAGCCCCUUACGAUCUGGGCUGGGGUCAGUCGAAGAGCAAGGCCUAGGUCCCCCAGAUCCCCCAGCUCUGGCCCUGUGCUCUCUUUAGGCAGCCUCUCCGGAUUCCCAGGCCCCAGGAGAUGGACCGCCUUCCUCAAGUCCUGUCACACUUCUUCCGGUCUAACCCGGAGGCUCUUCUUGAUGUGUGCAUGCCUUCGUGUGCCCAGCUGACGCUACGUGCCCGUCAUGAGCUCCUGUGUUUCGCUAGGCGCUGUUCUGGGCGCCAGGAUGUAGCAGGAAAUACAGCCGCUGGCAGAGUUAACUUUGAUGAGGCCCUUUGUGUGUGCCAGGCGCUGUUUGGAGUCUUCGCGGGCAGUAACAAACUCCAUGACGUAAGGCUCGUUCCAGGACUCAGCGCUGCUCAUCACCCGGAUCGGCAGGUGGAGAGCCAGGGAGAACCGUUGGAGCGGCUCUUCACAGCCGAGGGCCAGGGAGGCCCCUGUGAGAGGUCACGGUCCAGCCGGGACCCACGGCUGCGUGUGGAGCUGGAGGCUGGGGCAGGAGUGGGGAUGGCAGCCGGCAAAGCUGGGGGGAGGGGGAUCCCUGCGUUUGAGAAACAAAAUCGAGCAAGUGCCGGGGAGUGGAGACCAGGGACAGCGCGGUGGGAGCUGGGGUUUGAGGACGCGCGUGUGUGCCUGACCCCCGCACUCCUGUCUUCCAGGGAGGAGUGUUCAGGAACAUGACGGGUGUGGUCCUGACUCCCCUGCCCGGCCCCCCAACGGCCAGGCGGGGGUGGAGGUGCACAUCCCAGACCUUCGGGGUCGGCAGAGCUUCUGCCGAAGUGACUCCCUGCCCCUGAGCCAACACUCACCCUCCGCCCUGGGAUUUGGAAGAGCUGGGGCAGCAGCCAGGUCUUCCCUAUGGGAACUCCUUCAUUCCUUCAGCCACCUGCCAGCAGCUCCAAUCGGUGCUGAAAAGAGGGAAGCGAAAACCCAGCUCCUGCUUUCAGCCCGAUGGCCCCCUCCCUCAAGCCUUAGGUUUCUGUGUUUCAGCUUCGCCGUCUGCUCCUCCCCACGUGAAUCCCCUGGACUCUUCGCAAGGAAGGAAGAGAAAUACGGAGGGACGGGUUGUCUGUGUGUGUGUGUGUGUGUGUGACAGGGGCAGACCGAGACCUGGGCAAGGACGGCUGCUGACAGCACACACAGGAGCAGAGGAGGGGCAGCCGUGGGCAGAGGCCCCCACUUUCCCUUUGUCGUUACCCGAGAUGCUGGGUGUGAUGACGUUCUGGGUGGGAGAGGAGGAAGAGGAGAGUAAAACAGUCGCAGGGAAGUUUCAGACUUAGAGGAGUGAGUUUUCUACCAGGCACCUUCUGAAAGAGAAGUUUUGCAUUAAAAGGUUUGAGAAACCUUUUUGUGCUCAGUGUAUCAGAAGCAGGUCUCUCUCCUCCCUCAGGAUUCCUCAGGCCUGUGAAUUCCU